rnacentral:rRNA from 1 species
UACGUAGGUGGCAAGCGUUGUCCGGAAUUAUUGGGCGUAAAGCGCGCGCAGGCGGUCCUUUAAGUCUGAUGCGAAAGCCCACGGCUCAACCGUGGAGGGUCAUUGGAAACUGGGGGACUUGAGUGCAGGAGAGAAGAGUGGAAUUCCACGUGUAGCGGUGAAAUGCGUAGAUAUUGGGAGGAACACCAGUGGCGAAGGCGGCUCACUGGACCGGAACUGACGCUGAGGCGCGAAAGCGUGGGGAGCAAACAGG